rnacentral:hammerhead_ribozyme from 1 species
AUCUAGCUGAGGAGUCCCAAGUAGGACAAAACGAACGUCAAACUGGAU